AGAGUUUGAUUAUGGCUCAGAGUGAACGCUGGCGGCGUGCUUAACACAUGCAAGUCGAACGAGAACGGCUUAUAGUUUACUAUAAGUGUCAGCUAAGUGGCGCACGGGUGAGAUGUAUAGAAACCUGCCCUUAAGAAAGGAAUAACAGUUGGAAACGACUGCUAAUGCCCUAUAUGCCUUUAAUACAUAAGUAUGCAGGGAAAUAUUUAUAGCUUUGGGAUUGGCCUGUACGGUAUCAGCUUGUUGGUGAGGUAAUGGCUCACCAAGGCAAUGACACCUAACUGGUUUGAGAGGAUGAUCAGUCACACUGGAACUGAGACACGGUCCAGACUCCUACGGGAGGCAGCAGUGGGGAAUAUUGGACAAUGGGCGCAAGCCUGAUCCAGCAAUGCCGCGUGUGUGAAGAAGGCCUUCGGGUUGUAAAGCACUUUCAGGAGUGAGGAAAGGUUAGUAGUUAAUACCUGCUAGCUGUGACGUUAGCUCCAGAAGAAGCACCGGCUAACUCUGUGCCAGCAGCCGCGGUAAUACAGAGGGUGCAAGCGUUAAUCGGAAUUACUGGGCGUAAAGCGCGCGUAGGUGGUUUGUUAAGUUGGAUGUGAAAGCCCCGGGCUCAACCUGGGAAUGGCAUUCAAAACUGGCGAACUCGAGUAUGGUAGAGGGAAGGGGAAUUCCAGGUGUAGCGGUGAAAUGCGUAGAUAUCUGGAGGAACAUCAGUGGCGAAGGCGCCUUCCUGGACUAAUACUGACGCUGAGGCUCGAAAGCGUGGGUAGCGAACGCGAUUAGAUACCCUGGUAGUCCAUGCCGUAAACGAUGUCAACUAGCCGUUGGAAGACUUGAUCUUUUAGUGGCGCAGCUAACGCAAUAAGUUGACCGCCUGGGGAGUACGGUCGCAAGAUUAAAACUCAAAUGAAUUGACGGGGGCCCGCACAAGCGGUGGAGCAUGUGGUUUAAUUCGAAGCAACGCGAAGAACCUUACCCGCUCUUGACAUCCAGUGAACGAACCAGAGAUGGUUUGGUGCCUUCGGGAACACUGAGACAGGUGCUGCAUGGCUGUCGUCAGCUCGUGUUGUGAAAUGUUGGGUUAAGUCCCGUAACGAGCGCAACCCUUGUCCUUAUUUGCCAGCACGUAAUGGUGGGAACUCUAAGGAGACUGCCGGUGACAAACCGGAGGAAGGUGGGGACGACGUCAAGUCAUCAUGGCCCUUACGAGCGGGGCUACACACGUGCUACAAUGGCCAGGACAAACGGUUGCAACCCCGCGAGGGCAAGCUAAUCUGAGAAACCUGGUCGUAGUCCGGAUCGCAGUCUGCAACUCGACUGCGUGAAGUCGGAAUCGCUAGUAAUCGUGAAUCAGAAUGUCACGGUGAAUACGUUCCCGGGCCUUGUACACACCGCCCG
rnacentral:rRNA from 1 species